AACGCGAAGAACCUUACCAGCCCUUGACAUCCCGGUCGCGGGAACGAGAGAUCGAUCCCUUCAGUUCGGCUGGACCGGAGACAGGUGCUGCAUGGCUGUCGUCAGCUCGUGUCGUGAGAUGUUGGGUUAAGUCCCGCAACGAGCGCAACCCUCGCCCUUAGUUGCCAUCAUUCAGUUGGGCCCUCUAAGGGGACUGCCGGUGAUAAGCCGCGAGGAAGGUGGGGAUGACGUCAAGUCCUCAUGGCCCUUACGGGCUGGGCUACACACGUGCUACAAUGGCGGUGACAAUGGGACGCAAUGGGGCAACCCUGCGCAAAUCUCAAAAAGCCGUCUCAGUUCGGAUUGUGCUCUGCAACUCGAGCACAUGAAGUUGGAAUCGCUAGUAAUCGCAGAUCAGCACGCUGCGGUGAAUACGUUCCCGGGCCUUGUA
rnacentral:rRNA from 1 species